GAGGAAGGUGGGGAUGACGUCAAGUCCUCAUGGCCCUUAUGUCCUGGGCUACACACGCGCUACAAUGGCGGUGACAGUGGGAAGCCAGGCAGCGAUGCCGAGCUGAUCCUCAAAAGCCGUCUCAGUUCGGAUUGUACUCUGCAACUCGAGUGCAUGAAGGUGGAAUCGCUAGUAAUCGCGGAUCAGCAUGCCGCGGUGAAUACGUUCCCGGGCCUUGUACACACCGCCCGUCACACCAUGGGAUUUGGUUUGACCUUAAGUUGGUGCGCUAACCCGCAAGGGAGGCAGCCAACCACGGUCGGGUUAGAGACUGGGGUGAAGUCGUAACAAGGUAGCCGUAA
rnacentral:rRNA from 1 species